rnacentral:rRNA from 1 species
UACGGAGGGUGCAAGCGUUAUCCGGAUUCACUGGGUUUAAAGGGUGCGUAGGUGGGCAGGUAAGUCAGUGGUGAAAUCCCCGAGCUUAACUUGGGAACUGCCGUUGAUACUAUCUGUCUUGAAUAUCGUGGAGGUUAGCGGAAUAUGUCAUGUAGCGGUGAAAUGCAUAGAGAUGACAUAGAACACCAAUUGCGAAGGCAGCUGGCUGGACGGUAAUUGACACUGAGGCACGAAAGCGUGGGGAGCAAACAGG